rnacentral:lncRNA from 1 species
CCUCUUGUUUUGUCUCCAGAAGCUUGGAUAGAAGACUGAGCUUGCGAGUACGCGAAUGAUUUGCUAGGGUGGUUUACAGUUUAGACUAUGCAUCAGCAACUGUCACACAUGAAGAUAUCAAGGGAGCAACGGAUCCAGCAACUGAAGCUUGAAUAGCUUGGAGGAUGAGACGAUCUUGACGUAGCCACAGUUUGUGAGCUGGAUUGGGUACUGGACUAGGAUCGCCGGGGAUGUUGAG